AGUGAACGCUGGCGGUAGGCCUAACACAUGCAAGUCGAACGGCCGCACAGUAAGAGCUUGCUCUUACGGGUGGCGAGUGGCGGACGGGUGAGGAAUACAUCGGAAUCUACUUUUUCGUGGGGGAUAACGUAGGGAAACUUACGCUAAUACCGCAUACGACCUACGGGUGAAAGCAGGGGAUCUUCGGACCUUGCGCGAUUGAAUGAGCCGAUGUCGGAUUAGCUAGUUGGCGGGGUGAAGGCCCACCAAGGCGACGAUCCGUAGCUGGUCUGAGAGGAUGAUCAGCCACACUGGAACAGAGACACGGUCCAGACUCCUACGGGAGGCAGCAGUGGGGAAUAGUGGACAAUGGGCGCAAGCCUGAUCCAGCCAUACCGCGUGGGUGAAGAAGGCCUUCGGGUUGUAAAGCCCUUUUGUUGGGAAAGAAAAGCAGCAGGUUAAUACCCCGCUGUUCUGACGGUACCCAAAGAAUAAGCACCGGCUAACUUCGUG
rnacentral:rRNA from 1 species